GAACGACUCUCGGCAACGGAUAUCUCGGCUCACGCAUCGAUGAAGAACGUAGCAAAAUGCGAUACUUGGUGUGAAUUGCAGAAUCCCGUGAACCAUCGAGUUUUUGAACGCAAGUUGCGCCCGAAGCCAUUUGGUUGAGGGCACAUCUGCCUGGGCGUCACGU
rnacentral:rRNA from 2 species